CCUGCCCACUUUCCUUCCCCGCCCACUUAUUUUAACGCAAAUCAGGUGUGUUUUGUUCAAAGACAUUGUCUCUAAAGAAAAGGUAGGAACUAACCUCUAUCUCCCACCCCCAGGGCUCCCCCUGCGGGCAAACUGGCGCCCUUCCCGAUUCUCUGUUCCCUCUCCCCGCGGUUUCUGUGCAUACUAUCACAAGCUCUGUCCUGUGACCCUGCCCCCCGGGCUUCUCUCCAUGCUGCCCUGCAGCCUGAAAACGAUCCCUUAGUGACCGUGGACAGGCCAGAGUUGCCUGGCAGGCCUGUAGCCUGAGUGGGACAUUUAAUGCGCGUGGCUUUUUGCCAUGAUGGUGAGUGGCCUCUUCCUUAUUUGGGUUACUUUCUGGAUGCCCCAUCCCCUCAAGCCAGGUCAGGCCCCGGCACCCUCCUCGCUUCGCACUGUAACUUCGCUUCUCGCGCGUGGUGUUUAACGCAGCCCAACUGAAACAGGGACUUGAGUACUUAGCUAUUAAUUGCCUGGGAACUCCACGAGGGCAGGAAUCAGGUCUGCUUUUAUCCCUGCUGUGUCCCUGGCAUCCCCCAGCACAGGGCCUGGCACACAGUAGGUGCUCAGUAACAGGAAUGAGUGAAUGAAUGAAUGAAUGAAUGCCAAGGUCAGUAUCUGGGCGUCUAUCAUGAGGGCACCAGGAAACCACAAAAUGUUUUAGGCAGAACUGGACCCGUUCUUCUCUAAUGUGCACAUAAAUCCCUUGGGAUCUUGUUAAAAUGCAGAUUCCUAGUCAGCGGAUCCAGGGAGGACCUGAGAGUCUGCAUCCCUAACGAGCUCCCAAAGCUGCCAGGGCUUUGAGCAACGUGGGGCUCGCCGUGCUGUUCAGCACAGCAGCCGCCAGCCACGUGCGGCUGUCAAGGAUUUGAAAUGUGGCUACCGUGAGCUGCCACGUACUUUAAGUGUAAAAUACCGACCAGAUUUCAAAGACUUAGUACAGAAAAGAGAAUGUAAAAUAUCUCAGUAAUAGUUUUUAUAUCGAUCACAUGUUAAUAUGGUAAUAUUUUGGAUAUAUCAGGUUAAAUAAAAUAUAUUAUUAAAAUUAAUUUUACCUGUUUUUUUGUUUCAUGUGGCUACCAGAAAAUUUUAAAUUACAUUUGAAGCCCUCCUUGGUCACCCAGGGUGGGUCAGGUGUCAGUUCUGGGCUUCUGCUCUUUGAGCUUCCCCCUCCCAGCCCUGACCUCUGUGACAUCAGCACUUAAAUGUCCAUCUCCCUCUUAGAUAAAUCCCUGAGAAUGGGGUCAAAGUCUGUUCUGGUCCCCACUUUAUCUCCAGAACCUGGCACAGAGUCAGCAAAUAUCUGCUACUAAAUUUCGAAAUGACAGGUCAGCUGGGAAUCAUGCUCGUUUUCAUCUCUCCAACUGGACCCCCCAGCCAACUCCCAAGGCCUUGGUUUGGUUUGGUUUUGCUUUUACGGCCCUGCCCACAGCAUAUGGAAGUUCCUGGGCCAGGAACUGAAUCCAGGCUGCGGCUGCGACCAACACCACAGCUGCGACCCUGCCAGGUCCUUUAACCCACUGCCCUCGGCCAGGGCCUGAACCCUCACCUCCACAGUGACCCAAGCCGCGGCAGUCAGGUUCUUAACCCACUGCGCCACAACAGGACCUCCUCCAGGUCUUGCUUUUGAUGUCCCCUGACACCAGCGCGGUGUGUCCAACUGCCUUAACUUUUAAAGGGGCCACAGCAGACAUGCUGUGAAUCUAUCUCAACAGUCUCGGUCAUGUCCUUCUGCUUCUGUCCCUGAGCCACCUCAGACAGACCUCUUCUCCUGGGAGUUGUCCUCUGCUGGUGGCACAUUUCUGAGGGAGCACGUCUCUUCCCCUUAUUAAUGUUUAUCAGCUUUGCUGGAACAACACAAAUUUGGUAGACUUUUCUCAGUCUCUCCCUUUUUUCUUUUCCUUUUUAAGUUGCAUCGAAACAUUGCUUUUAAGAAACAAUAAUGAAGCAAUAGUCUGAUGGUCUUUUCCUUUCAGAUUCUUCUAUGGCUUUAAUAGUUUUGUAGUUAAACUUGAUAUGAAAAGAGGCUCAACCUCAUCAGUAGUCAAGGAAAGACAAACGAAGACCACACUGUGGUCAGCUGGCUCUCACUCCAGCUUGCUCGUCCACAUGCCUCCACUGCGCUCUCUCUGCUUUCAGCAGAAUCAACGCCUUGGUUCCCGCACGCUCUCCCUUCUUCCUCCCCAUCCUGGCUGCUGUCCCUGCCACCCAUUGUAGAGACUCAAUCAGUCACUUCCCUAAAUCCCCUUUCUCCCCUGUCUUUUGGCCCCACCCAUCCAACUCAAAGCCAGCCCUUCCCUAU
rnacentral:lncRNA from 1 species